rnacentral:lncRNA from 1 species
AAGAAACCCCGCAAAGCGUAGGAGAAAUUCAAGAAACUUAAAAUGGAUUCUAUAGUUGAUGGAGAAAGAGACCAAAGCUUUGCAUAUGCUAGUCAAUUGGUGAUGGGUACAGUGCUACCCAUGGCCAUUCAAGCGGUGUAUGAGCUAGGCAUUUUCGAGAUCCUAGACAAAGCUGGUCCUGGUACAAAGCUCUCUGCUUCAGAUAUUGCAGCCCAGUUGCUCAAUAUCAGGGCUUAUAACUCCAUGUUUGCUUUCACAUCUAUGGGAGGUUGAGUUGAUGCAUCAAUCAAUCGAUCAAAAGGUCCUUAUGUUUUCAGGAUGAGCGGUCAGAAUUAUCAUCACAUUGGUUCUUUGUUGCCAAAAGUUGGGAAAAAACCACAGUUUGCUCAGCUUUAUAUCUAUGAUACUGAAAAUGAGACAGACAACAGAAUCAACACUCUAUUAAAACAUGGAAUGAAGACAGAAAUUGAUCACGAAAUUCUUCAUGAACUAUCAAAUUCGUAGCUAAUAAAUAGAGUUGGGCGCUCUAUUUAUGUUUAGACUGUAGUAAAGGGAUAGAUACAAAACACAACCAGAAUCUACAUUCCGUUUACGACUCCUUAAUAGUAGAGCAAGAGAUGGCCGUCGAUAUAAUAUGCCAAUAGUUUCAUAAGUUACAGGCUUAAUAGUUGGUGAUUUCAGUGAAGCGAACUUUCAACGCGAUGUUAUUAUAGAGCAUCGUACAAAGGGACUUCGAAGAAUCACAGAUUUGCAUCCAAGUUUCAUGCCCAUGACAUACCCGUUAAUAUAUCCUUAUGGCGAAGAUGGAUAUAGACCUGACAUAUCUUUAAGAGACGUAACUGAUAGCCCUUUUAAGAGGCAAAAGCUAACAAUGAGGCAAUAUUAUUGCUUUAGGUUGCAACAAAGAUUGAAUGAGGGACACACUCUACUUCAAGCUGGUAGACUAUUCCAACAAUAUAUAGUUGAUUGUUACAUGGCAAUUGAAGAACUCUGCAGCGGUAACUUCAAAUCCUUAAAAAUUGCAUAGCACAUGCAUUUUUUAUUUUGUAGAAAUAAAAAAUUUUCUAAUAGACUUGUUUUUAGAUAUUCGCCAUGCUUAAUUAUUGUUGGAAACAAUAGCUUUUAAAUUCUAACUCUAAUUAGCUUAAUAAAUACUUACUGCUAUAAUCUAAAAACCAAAUUUGUUUUAUCUAUAUAAUAAAAAGUCAUAAUAACUUUCAAAAUUAUUACGUAUUCAUACCUGCUGUACGGCCAAGGCGGAUGUACGGUACAGCAGAAAAAUUUGUUUUGAUGCAAUGUUUUGAACAUCUUUUUCUAAAACAUGUUUUGCAGCUUUGCAAUCAAUUCUAAGUAGAAAUUUUUUAUUUAAUAAAUCACUUUGGAAUUUUGAAAUGCAUAAAACAAUCUGCUGUACGGCCAAGGCGGAUGUACGGUACAGCAGAAUUUUUAAAUUAAGUAAAAAACCAAAAAAAAGUUAGCUUAAUAACUUAAUGACUGAAAACUUUUGCUAAGUUGAAAAAGUAAACGAACUUAGUGACUUAAUUGAUUGAAAUUAAGUUAAUUAAGUCACUAAGUCAAAAAAGAAAUAGCCCUUGAGCUUUUGUUAAUUAAUUUUUUUAUGAUAGUCAUCUUGAAACAUAAUACACGUAUUUGUAGAUUAAACAAGGGGGAAGAAAAUGCUAGCUUUCCCAUGUAGGACUUUUGUCUCAAUAAAUGGUGAAGACAACGUUUACAAUAUUCUCUUUUGGAUUCACUAUUUUGUUACAUACCAGGCUUAAUAGUUGGUGAUUUCAGUGAAGCAAACUUUCAACGCGAUGUUAUUAUAGAGCAUCGUACAAAGGGACUUCGAAGAAUCACAGAUUUGCAUCCAAGUUUCAUGCCCAUGACAUACCCGUUAAUAUAUCCUUAUGGCGAAGAUGGAUAUAGACCUGACAUAUCUUUAAGAGACGUAACUGAUAGCCCUUUUAAGAGGCAAAAGCUGACAAUGAGGCAAUAUUAUUGCUUUAGGUUGCAACAAAGAUUGAUGAGGGACACACUCUACUUCAAGCUAGUAGACUAUUCCAACAAUAUAUAAUUGAUUGUUACAUGGCAAUUGAAGAAGAAAGAUUUCGUUGGAUCCAGAAUAAUCAACAAAAACUUAGAUCAAACCUUUUCUCUGGUUUGAUGGAUGCUGUUCAUCGAGGUGAUUUUGAUUGUUCGAAAGUUGGAAAAUUGAUUAUUCUACCUUCAUCACACACGGGGGGACCACGAUAUAGAAUACAAAAUUAUCAAGAUACUAUGGCAAUUUGUAAAUGGGCAGGAUAUCCUGAUUUAUUUUUUACUUUCACUUGCAACCCAAAGUGGCAAGAAAUAAAUAACAUGCUCCGAUUAGUUGGACAAAAGAAUGAUGACAAUCAAGUCGAUAUCAUAUGCAGAGUUUUCGAGAUAAAAUUAUUCCAACUAAUGCAAGAUCUGAAAAAGGAUCAACCGUUUGGAAAAAUAAUUGCAUGUAAGUUCACUUCAAAUUCAUAUCCAUAACAAAUUCAACUCAUUUGUUAUUGAAAAGUGCAGGGAAGAACAAUAAUUUCACAAUUGAAAUCAAUAUUUCUAACUUUUAAAUUUUACCCCAUGUUGUGGCAGGUCUAUAUACAAUUGAGUUUCAAAAAAGAGGCUUGCCCCAUGCACACAUACUACUUUUUUUGCAUCCAACAAUGAAAAAUCCUUCUGCAGACUAUAUUGAUAAAAUAAUAAGUGCAAAAAUCUCCGGGUUAGCUUAUUUAAUUGACUGCACCACUAGUAGAUUAAUAAGUAAGAUAACUAUAACUGUAAGGGACCUUGUGUUAUUUUACAAGACUUUUUUUGCAUCCAACAAUGAAAAAUCCUUCUGCAGACUAUAUUGAUAAAAUAAUAAGUGCAAAAAUCCCUGACUUAAAUGUUGAUUCUGAUGGUUAUAAUGCAGUUAACAAAUUUAUGAUUCAUGGACCGUGUGGAAAACACAAUUCUCACUCUCCAUGCAUGAUGCAAGACAAGUGCACAAAACAUUUUCCAAAAAAACGUGUGGUGACCGUACUGGAGUUGUUGCGCGUGUCGAGGGAUUUGCAAGGGAGGUUCGAGGAAGUCGAGGUGACGAUGCUGUUAUGCCACAACUGGGACGACGUCGUUUGCGAUCUCGCUUGCAUUGAGGAGUUGUAUAAACAUGCAGCCAUUAACAAGGGUUUCUUUUGCUCCGAGUACGGCAGAGGUCACAUUAAAUUAUAGAUAUAUAUCAGCAACCGAAGCUUGCUGGCGAAUCUUCCAAUUUGACAUACAUUACAGAAAGCCGGCAGUUGAAAGAUUACCAUUCCAUUUACUGGGAGAGCAUACAGUAAUAUUCAAAGAAUCCAAGUGCUUACAAAAUGUGCUUACCAUACCUGGAAUAGAAAAAACAAAGUUCACAGAAUGGUUGGAAGCAAACAAGAUAUAUGAUGAUGUACGAGAGUUAACUUAUUCUGAUUUCCCUACAUGUUGGGAGCAAGAAAAAUAAGAGCAAUUUUUUAUUAUUUUUUCUCAUGAAACAGGUUGCAAGUUCUAAUACAAAGACCAAACUACCAAAAUCAAGAACUUUUGGGGUUAUAUUUUUCUAUUAAGAGAACGUGACACAAACGGUACACAGAGAUGUUUCCCCUUUUUGAACUCAGAAGAAAUGUCACUCUAGUCCCAAUUGAAAUAAGGAAGCAAGAGAAGCAAGUUUUCAUUAGUAUGUGAUAUUUGUAACAAGAUGUCUUCGACAUUAUUGCUCCGAUUAGUGGUAAAUUUGUGUAAUUCUGCAUAAGCCUCUGAAAUAAUGAAGUUGAUCAAGAAAGAACUAAUUGGAGAAUUUAAUUAAAUUUGCGAACAAAUGUAGUCAUUCCAUUCACAUACAGAAAGUUUUUAAUACAAAGUCCAAGCAGAUGCAUUUUAAAGAUUGUAAUAAGAGAUGAUCAAGAUUCGGUGAUAGUACUAUUCCAUAGUGAUGUUUACAGAAACACUGGUUUUAUGAGAUAGAGACGUGGCUCUUGUCUUUAUCGAUUGUGCUUUGUCAAGCUAGAGGGUUUUGUUUCUAUCAACAAUGUGUUAAUAAUGUAAUUUCUGAAUAGAAGUCAAAAUACUUUAAAAAAAUUCUUCUUUGAUAAGAGAUUCAGGUAACCGAUUGGUCAAUGAAGAGCUUGAUUAUGAUCGUGAUCAAUUAAAGAAGUUGCAUGAGAAAUCGUUUGCUGCUCUAAAUGCUUGCCAAAAAUCAGCCUAUGAAGCAAUAAUGCAUUCUGUUGAGAAUGAAAAAGGGCAUUUAUUUUUUAUCAAUGGACACGGUGGUAUUGGUAAAACAUUUUUGUGGAAUACAAUUAUUGCAAAGCUCAUAUCACAUUCUAAAAUAGUCUUGCCUGUUGCAACUUCAGGUAUAACAACUUUGUUAUUGCCUAAUGGUAGGACAACUCAUUCGUGAUUUCAUAUUCCUUUAGAUGUGACAGAAGAGUCCACUUGUGAAAUCCGACAAGGCACCUUAUUAGCUGGACUUCUUAUGAAAACUUCUUUGAUCAUUUGGGAUGAAGCGCCUAUCGCACAUAAGUUAUGCUUUGAAGCUUUGGAUAGAACCUUGAGAGAUAUUCUAAGAACAAGGUAUGAAAAUAGUUCUAUCAAACCUUUUAGAGGACUUACAAUAGUAUGUGGUGGCGAUUUCUGACAAAUAUUGCCAGUUGUGCCAAAGGGGACAAGAGCAGACAUUGUUGAUGCUUCACUUAACUCAUCCUACUUAUGGCCAUUUUUUAAAAUUUAUGAGCUCAAACAAAAUAUGAGGCUCUAUAAUGGAAGCGUGAGUGGCUCUGAGGCUGCUAAAAUAGCUUCUUUUGACAAAUGGUUGUUGCAGAUUGGAGAUGGUUCAUUAUAUGAUGACAUUGAUAGAGAUUUAGUUAAACUACCUUCUGAUAUCUGUAAGAAACCAUCAGAAAAUCUGAUGAAAUCAAUAGUCGACACUAUUUACCCAUCAAUUCGGCAUAACUACAGUGAUCUAGCAUAUUUGAAAGAAAGAGCAAUAUUAACGCCAAAAAAUGAAAUGGUGCAUGAAUUGAAUGAGAUGAUUAUGAAUAUAAUACCUGGUCAAGGGAGAACCUUUUUAGCUCAGACAGUAUAUGCAAAGCAAGCGCAAACACAAAAAAAAAAGAACUAAUUGGAGAAGUUAAUUAAAUUUGCGAACAAAUGUAGUCAUUCCAUUCACAUACAGAAAGUUUUUAAUACGAAGUCCAAGCAGAUGCAUUUUAAAGAUUGUAAUUUUAAGGAAGGUGCUCCCGUAAUGCUUCUUAGAAAUCUAAAUCAAAUAGAAGGCAUAUGCAACGGCAAAAGAUUGAUUGUCACUUGUCUUGGUAAAUGGUCCAUUAGAGGUGACAUCAUUUCUAGAACAAAUAUUGGACAAAAUGUCACAAUCCCAAGAAUUAUUAUGUCUCCGAAUGAAUCAAGAUGACCAUUCAAGCUUAACAGACGACAACUUCUGUUCCAUAGUGAUGUUUACAAAAACACUGGUUUUAUGAGAUAGAGACGUGGCUCUUGUCUUUAUCGAUUGUGCUUUGUCAAGCUAGAGGGUUUUUUUCUAUCAACAAUGUGUUAAUAAUGUAAUUUCUGAAUAGAAGUCAAAAUACUUUUAAAAAAAAUUUUUUUUAGCCUUUUGUCUGCAUCUUUGAAAAUAAAUAAUACAAGGAGCAUUUAAUUACUUCUCUCUUGUCAUUAGCCAACAAUUAUUUGAAGAUCUCAAAUACAAGGCCGGCUGCUCAAACAAUGUCAACAAAAGCUUAUCUCCUUAUGCUCUCCACUACAAUUUUUCUUUUGUUCGUUCUUUUUCGUCUUUCACCUUUCUGUGUUUACAAAAUAGAUUAUGACGGAGGCUAUAUAUUGUGUGUUUCCGUAUUCAAGAAAAUUCCUCCAAUCUCUUACGGAAACACUGUUGAACUUUCAGAUUUCAUGGUCAAUUAUAUGUCGCCCUGUCUCGAGUUACCACAAGAGAAGGAUUGACCAUACUAAAUGCCGAUCAAGAGGUAGAAGACCGAACCUUCAUAAAAAACAUUGUCUACAAAGAAGUAUUUCAAAAUAUUCACACAUCAGCUCACAAAAUCAAGGUAUCAACAUGUGAUGGUGCUUUUUAUGCACCAUGGGCCCCCCAGAGCAAGAAACUUGCUCCAGAAUAUGAAGCCGCUCCCACUGAGCUCAAGGGCAAAUCUAACACGACCCGCCCCAAACUGCAUGUUAGAAUUGAGGUGAAUUGUGCGGACUAAUAAUUUAAACUUGUAGCACAAAUUUAAUUCAUGAAAAAUAUGUAUAAAAUAUGGCCUUUCCUAUAAACACAUAACCACCUCUGUGCCUUUUCUGAAACCAUAUAUGAAUUCAAAACUUACAUAGCUUAUGUCUCAUUGUACAUACUGACAUUUCAUGUAUAUUUACAUAUAAAACAUAAGCAACAUAUCAUAGCUGCAAGCUUGAUAUAAACAACUACUCACCUACGCAGCUACAAACGAUGCGAAAUAACUUACAAAAGUCUUUACAUGUAUUUUACUUAUUUCUUUUAUAAUUCAACGCUAAGGAUCCUCAAUUACAAAAUUUAAUUUGGAACUUAUCAACUACAAAAGGUAUAAGGUCUGUACACUUAGACUAUACACGUUAAUAUUUAUUUUUAAAGUUAACAAAAAAAUAGUUAACUUUCAUAAAUAACAUUAGUUUUAUAAGGCUGCCUUAUUUAAAAAAUAAUAAUUUAUAUUUUUUAUCAGUUUUAUCAAGUGUAAAGAAAGAAAAAUUGAUAAUACUAAAUUCAUUUUCUAAAGUCGCGCGAAGCGCGGUUUUAUUUCCUAGUAUAUAUAUAUAGUAAGGCCGACAUCCUCACUUUAUUAUGCACGAGUAGAGUAGGGGAAACACCUCUCAAUACCCGGCGCAAUUUAGCUACAUCGCUUUGAUAGAGUAACCUUCACUUCCAGUAGCGAUUUCUUUCACUUCUAGUGGCAAUUAUGUGAGUUAUAGUUUGGUUCCAGCAAAUUUAUUCACUUACGAUUUUGGCGGCUUAUGUACUUUCACAAUUUGUUUCAUUAAUUUAGAAUAAUUUUUUGAUCAAUAAAAAAUAAAAAUAAAAAACAUAAAUUUUAAUAUACUAAAAGAAAAAAAUAAACUUUUUAAUGUAUUAAAUCUAUAUUUUUAUAUUUUAGUGACAUUUUAAUUUUUAAUAAAGUGAAAAUGUUUUCGCUAGAAAAGAAGGAGACUCUCUCUCUCUCUCUCUAUAUAUAUAUAUAUAUAUAUUUUAGUGCGAAUGUUCUCAUAUUUUAAAUAAGAAUUUACUAUAUUGUAUUAAGAAAUUAUUGAUCUAAACUUAGAAUUAUUUUGAAGUUAAAGAGAAGGUUGGUGUGCCCACCAAUCAAGAACAUGAGUGGUUGCUCGUGUUGCCUAAAAUUUGGCCAUGUUAAGCUUGGGCAAGGUGGGUGGCUUCCCCCCAUCAUGCCGGAAGUCGCUCAAUCACUGCUUGCAAUUAAAGCUUGUUAGUACCCAUCACCAAUUGGCUGAUGGGUGAUCAGUUCCAGCUGGGUCUGGCUGAUUAGUAGAAUGAUAUGAAGCCAUGUUUAAUUAAUUUUCUUGAAUUUCUCCCAGCCAUGCAAAUGGGUGACGACAUGAUUUGGUUGGGCAAUACAUGUUGUCGCCUGCGUUCUAGGCGACAUGAACUAAAUCUGGGCAACAGAAUUGUGUUGCCAAGAUUUGGUUGGGCGAUAUAUCAUGUUGCCCAUGUAUCGGGCAACGAAGGGCAACAACAACUGAAUCAUGUCGUCGCCUAAGUUUUCCAAUUGUAUGGGGUGGCAAUUUAGACGAAAAUUUAUUUAUUCGAUUCAAUCCAACUGGAGUCAAAUUAAAUUAGAUUUGAGUUUGAAAAUAUUCAGUUUUUUUUCUUUCGAAACAUUUAUGCCAAUGUUAUCCUAAAGAUUUCUGACUAUUUCAGUUUUGUUUUUUUAAAACAUUUAUGCUAAUACUAUCAUAAUUUAUUGCGUAGAUAUGUCUAACAAGUAGAUGCAUCACUGGUCAUUGAAGAUACCAAUUGAGGAUUAUUUCACCGAUUGCGUUUCAAAUUUAAUGAGAUUUAAUUUUUUUCAUUAUGCGUAUACAGACCAAGUUAACUGAUACUCAAUUUAGGCUAUUCAAAAAGUCAAUUUUUGGUCAUUUUCUAGCGAUGGGGGCCCCAGGAUUUAGCGACAAUUUUGUACAUUAUUUGUUUCUCAGACUAGUCAUGAAACAAGUUGAUGAUGAGUACCAAAUGUGGUUUAGGAUUGGCAAUGAGAUGUUAUGUUUCUCUCUUCGAGAAUGGUGCUUGGUGACAUGAUUGAAAUGUGAUAAUGUGGAAAAUUUGCACGAAAAACACUUGGCAAAUACGUGAUCAGUAUUUCAAUGGAGCACAAUACUUUAAGUUUUUUCAUGCUAAAUAAUUGGUCUGGCCCACACAAAUACCCUUGUAAAUAGAACCAUCAACCAUGUCUGAAGCUACCCAAUCUGAUGGCACAAUUGGAGCUAUGCUUGGAGUUUCACUUAUUUUUUAUUUUUUUAAUUGUUGUAAAUUUGAAAUGAAUUAAUAAUUAACAAGUUGUUAUAAUUAACAAGUUGUUAUAAUUAACAAUGAAUUAAAAAAAUUAAAUAUUUUAAAAUAAAAUAAUAUAUGAAGAAAAUUAAGCAAAUAAAUGCUAAAGAUUUAAUUUUUUUAAUACUAUAUUUUCUAAUUUAAACAUCAUCUUAAUUAAUUACUGCUUUAGAGAGAGAUUAAUAUUAUAAUUUUAGGUUUUGUGAAUCAUUUUGUAUUGACAACAUUGUCAUCAAUAGGAUAAUUAUGGGAGCGGAAUGGGGAGUAGUGUUUAAAGGUGGAAGUUUGAAUUGAUGGCAUCAAAGAAAGUUCUAUCGGAACUUUAGGACUUGUUGUUACAUAAAUAGAAGUGCACUCAUAGUUAAUUGGAUCAGAGUUCAUACGCAUAAUCACUCUCACCAUUUCAUCGUUCACUAUGUCUAUAGGCAGUGAAUCAAUGGGUUGCGUCAGAUGAGUUGAUUUCACAUUUGUCUUUACCAAGAGGGAAUAUUCAUCUGAACUUUUCUUCAAAAUUUCAUACAACUUUGCAAUAAAUUGUUCAAAUGUUACAUCUUUUUGAAAACAAAAUGCAGUAACUUUUCCAUUCUCAUACUCUAUACGACCAUCCUUCAAAGUCUCCCACGCUCUAUCAAAAUACAUCAUAAGAACUAACAACUAUAUUAACCUGAUGCAAAAUAAUAAUAAUACUUUAUUAAAAGCACUGCAAACAAUAAUAUUACUAUAUUAAUUAAAUAACUAAUAUUUUUAAAUUUUAAUAUAUUGUUCUAAUUAUAAAUUUAUUUUGUAAAAAAAAAAUAGAGUGCUGGGCCUAGUCCGAGCAUUUUCUCUUAAGCUCUUAUCUAAUUCCUCGCAUAGAAAGAUUGGCCGAAAGCUUGCGGGCUUGGGCCAGAUGGGCUUUUUUAUCCACCCUGUUCUGCCCAGGCGAUAGAUAAUGUCACCCAAAUUACAAGCGAUUGUAUAUUCGGUGAUAUGAGUACUAAUUGCCCAAUAUGCAGUAUUAUGUCAUCUGGGUGAUGAAUACCGGAAUCCAAGCGACCGGUACGACAAGUCAUUCUAAGUUUGGGCGAGCAUCUCAGUCACAUGAUACAAAGAUAAAAAAAUUCUCACAAUCAACUCUCACAUUCCACAAAUGGGGAAAAUAAUGAUGGUGAUAAUAUUAUGAUCGAUGUUUUUCAGUGAUCUUAUUGUAAGAAGCUUUUUUCCCAAAAAAUCAUGCAUUUGAUUGAGAUCCCACUGCAUUUACAGCAUCUCGAGGCACUUCAUCUCACAUGUUUCUUUCAACUUUGGGCGACAGGUACUUGUCACUUGGAUUUUGGGUUUCGUCUUCAACAUUGUUUAAAACCCAUUUUUUUCGAAUUUUACUGGAAUUUUACUAAUUUAUAAAUUUAUGACCUCACAUUAACUAUUUAAUGUACCCACAUUGUAGUAAAAUGAGCAACCGAUCUUUUGUAUGAAACCCAACAAAAAAAUAAAAGAUAAAUAUUGAAGAAAUACUAACCCUAACUUCUUAUUAUUCUUUAGUUUGUUGCUUGAUUUUGUCUUCAAUACUUAGAUAAAUAUAAUAGUUUGAUGAAUGUGAGAUAGAUAAAAGGGAGGUUGAGUGAUAGUUGAUAAUGUGGGAGAGGUGAAAUGAUGACUGUUUUGGUGGUGUGUGGAGAUGUUCGACUGUUGCUUGGGAGUUGGGGGUUUGUUUGCUUAGUUUUAGGGGAAUAUUAUAUUUCUCUAAGAACAUGAGGCAGACAUUGGAGUGAUGGAAGAUGAUCCAAUCAAUUUCUGUCAGGCCAUGAAAAGUUUUAACUCUCAGAAGUGGAUUGAUGCCAUGAAUGAGGAGAUAAAAUCCAUGAAAGACAAUGACGUAUCGGAUCUUGUCCCAUUGGCAGAAGGUGCGAAACCUAUUGGUUGCAAAUAGAUAUUUAAGACCAAGAGGGAUUCGAAAGGUAAUGUAGAGAGAUGCAAGGUGCGUCUUGUCGCAAACGAUUUUACGCAGAAAGAAGGCAUUGACUAUAAAGUAACUUUCUCUCUGGUUUCUUUGAAAGACUCUUUCAGGAUUAAAAUGGCAUUAGUGGUGUAUUUCGAUCUUGAGUUACUUUUACAAAGCAUAAUUAUAAGGUUACACAUAUAGCACAAGUGGGAGAUUAUUGAAUUUUUAAUCCAAUAUUGUUGGAUCCUUAAUCCAAUAUUGGGCCUAUAUGUGAAUAAUUAUGUGUUACAGACUUUAAUAUAUCUAAUAGGAUAUGGGCAUUUAAUAUGUAAAGACAAUAGAAAAAAGUUGUCUAGAUAAGUGGUUAUGGUUCUCAUGUCACACAUAUUUUUAUAUUCUUUCUGAAAUCCGAUCGUCAGAAAGAUAGCCUUGAGAAAACUUAAAGGAUUCUCUAGGAGAACGUGUAGAUUUGGAAGGCCAACCACACAAUCCUAGAGAGCAAUUCAAUGUUAUAGAUUCAGGUACACUUCCGCAUAAUUUUGUUAUUGAUUUUUUGUGAUAUAACAUGAAUAUCAUCUGUAAGGACAACUGUUGCUAGCACUCCUUAAAAUUUUAUAUAAAAAUAAGUUUUUAAUUAAUGUUUCGACAUGUGUUUCUAAUCGGGCCCUGCAAAUAAAGUAUUACUCUUUUUUUAGAACCUUACUUGUUACCUUCCUUAACAUGUUUUCUUCUGCCCAGUGGCCACUGUGCCAUACAAUUUCAGUGGAGCGCACACAGACUGACGAAAAAGUUUGAAAACUUGGUGUUUUGGUGUUGACGGCAAAGCUUGGUCUUUUGGACGUGGCCAGGAAAGGAAGCUCCGUUGGGAACUUGGAGGUGACGAUGGGUAGAGUCUAGUGCUUUGAGAGAGGCCGUGAGUUUAGACCUAGGGUCUUAUUUUUUAUUAUUUAUUAUUUGGUUAAAUUAAAAUAAAAUGAGUUAAAAAAAUAUUUUGAGUUCGAGUUUGGAGGCCUGAUAAAAUUAUCAUUUAUGUGUUCUAUUUACAAAUAAUAAUAAUAGUAUUGGCUAACAAAUAUACUUAUUAACAAUGUUAGUAAUAGAUGUUAAGAGUUAUAGUAUCAUCAAUCAUAAUGCUAGUAGUAAAACAAUAUCAUCAAGUAUUAAAGUUACAUGUAAUCAUGUAUAAGCUUCGAUAACAACUCAAAGAAAUUUUUGUGAUUUCAAAUUAGUGAGUAAAUGAAACGAUAAAAAGUAAUUUAAUUAAUUUGAUAGAAAUUUGUAUGAAAUAUUUUUAAUUAGAUAUUGUUAUCUUAUAGUUGUCCAUAUCAAGAAUUAAAUCGUAUUAUUAAUUAUAUGAGUCAUUAGUACAAAUAAUAUUAAAAACAGCAAUAUUUUAUGGACAAUAUGAUACUCGUCCCGCAAAUAAAGUUUUACUUUUUUUUUUAAACCCUACCUACCUAUAACCUACCUCUAACUAGGCCAACAUUUUUUCUUCAAUUAAUUUUAUAUUGAACGUGAAAAAUAUUGAGGACCAUGCACACAUUCAAAAAAAUUAUUGGGAUUCGAAUCAAGUCUCUAAAACCACUAAGUAACAUUUUUUCAUUUAACUCAUUCAGAAGGUGCUCAGGGCACACUUAAAAAAAAAAUGGUUCAGAGGGCUAAAACCCCUCUUAUGCUUUAAAAAUUAGAAAACUACAAAGGUUAUAAAGUUGCCUUUGAUAAAUCAAGUUGUGUUAUUGAGAAUGCAUGUGAUGGGAAUAUUUUGUUUAUGGGAAAUAGAUGUGGCAAUGUUUACACGAUUAAUAUAGAGUGUGCAUCUACUCAUGAUAAAUGUUUUUCGGCAUUGCAUGAUGAUGGUUGGUUGUGGCAUAGAAGACUAGGACAUGCAAGCAUGGAUUUAAUUUCAAAAAUUUUGAAAAAUGAUUUAGUUAAAGGUCUUCCAAAAAUUUGUUUUCAAAAGGAUAGAAUUUGUGAAGCAUGUCAAUUUAGAAAACAAAUCAAAACCUCUUUAAUGCUUCCAAAAUUGAGCUCUUUUAUAUCCUUUUUAUCCAUAAUCUCAAAUUAAUUCCCUAUUCAAUAAAAUAAUUCAAUUAAUUAAAAAUAAGAAAUAAAAUAACUAGCAAAUAUAUAAGAAAGGGUAAAAUAUGUAUAUAAAUUAUGCUCAUUAAAUACCCCCAAACUUAGAUUUUGCUAGUCCUCGAGCAAAACUAAAACUUAAAACAAAAAUAAAAACAAUGAAACAAAAAGUAAAUCCUAACUAAACUACUUUCGCAGGUAAUCGCGAAUGCAUUUAGUGUAUGCAACAAGCCUUUAAACCCCUAGACGGCCCUAGUGGACGAGUUAUAGUCUCGUGAUGGCUUUAGUGACGAUACCCACAAACAUCAUUUUUUUUAAAAAAUAAAUAAAUAAAAAUAACAACAAACUUUAAAUAAAACAUAAAAAUAGCCUCAAAGAUUGCAUAAAUUAUAUAGCUCAAAGAAAAUUUUAAAUACUGGCAAAGUUCUAAUUUUAAUUCAUUAGUCAAUCCCAUCUCUCUUUUGAUAGUUUUGAAUGACCAAGUCUAUAUUGGCAAACUCUUGAUAGUUUUGAAUGACAAGUCUAUAUAUAACCCCCUGGCCAAACAAGAAACCCCGCAAAGCGUACAAGAAAUUCAAGAAAUUUAAAAUGGAUUCUAUAUUUUCGCUAGAAAAGAAGGAGACUCUCUCUCUCUCGCGAAUGUUCUCAUAUUUUAAAUAAGAAUUUACUAUAUUGUAUAAUAAAUUCAUAUUUUAAAAAAUACGAAUAUCUGUACGUGAUAUAUAUAUAUAUAAUCAAUUGGCGAUGGGUACAAUGCUACCCAUGGCCAUUCAAACGGUGUAUGAGCUAGGCAUUUUCGAGAUCCUAGACAAAGUUGGUCCUGGUGCAAAGCUAGUACUCAUCACCAAUUGGCUGAUGGGUGAUCAGUACAUUGGAUCCAACUGGGUCUGGCUGAUUAGUAGAAUGAUAUGAAGCCAUGUUUAAUUAAUUUUCCUGAAUUUCUUAUGUGUUUAACAGCGUCAGCCGAUAGCAAAUGACCCCUAAUACAAAUAGUUCAGGACAAGGUCUUUCUGAAGAGCUGGUAAUUAAUUAAUUUCUAUUUCUCCCUUUUUCUCAGUAAAUGAUCAGCUAGACCAUGCAUGCAUGCAUGGAGCAUAUAUAUAGACGAUGCAUGAUAAAUUGGUUUUUCGGAAUUUAUUUAGGUCCCAACUCAAAGAUGCUAUUCUUGAAGGAGGAAUUCCCGGGCUGGCAAUUUGGACGAAAAUUUAUUUAUUCGAUUCGAUUCAACUGGAGUCAAAUUAAAUUAGAUUUGAGUUUGAAAAUAUUAAUUCAUUUAAUAAAUAAAUGAAUUUGAUUCAAUUUACUAAAUAAACGAAUCGAAUUCAAAUUUGUGAUCACUGGUUUAUUCUUGAAUCUUACAAGGGUUUCGACAACAUCAAGCAACUGGUCGAUGUUGGUGGUAGUCUCGGCAUUACUCUUCAAGCCAUCACUACCAAGUACCCCUAUAUUAAGGGCAUCAAUUUCGACCAGCCUCAUGUUAUUGACCAUGCCCCACCACAUCCACGUAUGAUUAUUAAUCUCAUGUUAUAUAUACGAGUACUUGUCGGGACAUUACACUAUUAUACCAUAUGCGGUAACAAUUUUCUUGCACUUUAUUAAAGUGCAACAACUCUCAUAAAUAUAUAUAUAGUCAUUCGCUAGGGUGGGCACCCUCAUUUUUUUUUUAAUGCAAACACUUUGUUGUACCGUGCGAUUUAAUAGAAUUAAUGAAGAACACCGUUAAAUCGUACGGUUUAAUAGUGUGUCCUCAUUUAUAAAAAAAAAUAAGGGCACCCACCUUAGAGAAGGACUAUAUAUAUGUGUGUGUGUGUGUGUGUGUGUGUGUGUUUUACUUUGUUAAAUUGAGAGUGCUACUAAUAAAUUAAAAAAAAAACACAAUUUCUAAUGUAUUGAAAUAUGUGUUUUUUUUUUAUAUUUUAGUAACAUUCUCAUUUUAAAAAAGUGAAGAUUUCAUUACUAGAGAAGGACUCUCUCUCUCUCUCACUACACAAAUUUUGUUAAAGUCCGAAAAAUCUAGUAAGUCAUAUGAUUUAAUAGUAUAAUGGACUAUUGAACCAUUUGAAAUUAUGAUUUUUUUUGGUUUUUAACAAAACCCAAAAUUUUGGAUUAGAUCAUUACUAUAUAUAUAUAUAUAUAUAAGGCUUCCUUACUUUAUUAAAAUAAAGGAUAAACUAAGGAUAAUACUUGGAAUGUUUGUUUUCUUUUUUCCUUUUUUUUAGAAGAUUCCUUAUUUUGGGGGCAAGUUUAAAAAAGAUACUUUUAGAAACAAAUUUCUUUCUAAUAGAGUUCAUCCAAGGAUUAAUAUUAAAGCUCACGUGUAAUUUUGUUAUUUUAAAAAACUAAUUAAUUCGCAUAGGUGCCAUAUUAUUAAAUUUAAUAGUAUAAGUAAAAUAUUUUUCUCUCACCUUUGUAUUACCCUUUAUUUCUCCCUCUAAAUUACCAGUGAACUAAGGUACACAUCCAUGUAGCCAUAAAAAAAGAUGUUAUCUACAUAAAUUUGUUUAUUAAACCAAAUGUAAAUAUUGGAAAAAAAAUGUUGGCAAUUGUUUCUACAUAUAUUUUUUUAAAGAUUAACAAAGCAUAGUCAUCUAAUCACGUUUCGAUUUACUGGAUAACUAAAGUAAACAUACAGAGAACUAGGGAAGUACUAUAUUUUAAUUUGUAGUAGUAACAUCCAUCCAACAGCCAUCAGAAUAAAAAAAAAUGUUUUAUAAUGAGUAGAGGGCGGAUUGAAGGAGAUGAGCACAUAAGUUAAAAAGAGAAAUAUAUGAAUGUCCUAAACAUGAUGUCAAGCAAAGGAAGUCUUUUAAGUGUUGUUGGACAUUCAAGAGGAAAUUAAGGACAAUGCUGAUUUAGAAUUCAGUUCAUCCGAAGAGCCUGCAACACGCAUACUCGUGUUAGCUAAGGCAGCUUUUAAUUUUAAGUUGCCUGUAAUUUGAUUGGAAGAUCUUCCUCCGAAAUGAAGUGUAAUUUCAAUCUUUGAAUGAAAUUACUUAGUUUAAAUAAAUUAAGAUGAUAAGAGAGAGGAAAGAGCGUUGUGUUUCACGUUUAUUGUUUGAUGUAGGGACUGGCGUGUAGUUAAUUAAUUUUUAGAAUUAUAAAACUGCAUGCAGUUUUAAUAUUAACCAUGUGAUAAACUUUAACCUAAUUGUUAGAAAUUUAUAUGUAAAAUUGUAUUAAAAAAAAUCCCUUGAACCUGCUCUCAUAUAUGUGUGUGUAUAAUUCUUCUGUUGUGUGUGCCAGUAUAUCAGGAACUUCCAUAACAUUGGCAUAAUUAAGUUUGAGCAAACAGUUCUUGACGUAAUACAUCUUGCUAAUGAAAAUAGAGUGGCAUAAUUCUAAUUGUCUGAUUUCUUAAUUGUAUAAUAUUUUAUAGGUAUUGAGCAUGUAGGGGGUGAUAUGUUCCAAAGUGUUCCAAAAGGUGAUGCCAUUAUUAUGAAGGUAAGUUUUUAAUUUAAUUUGCGGACAUAUUAUGAGGAGUUCCUUAAAUUAAAUUUUUACAAACAAUAGUUUGAUUAAUAUGAGAAUUUAUAUAGUGGAUACUGCACGAUUGGAAUGAUGAACAUUGCUUGAAGUUGUUGAAGAAUUGCUACAAAAGCAUCCCAGAAGAUGGAAAGGUAAUCGUUGUGGAGUCAAUGCUUCCAGAAGUUCCUAAUACAAGCAUUGAAUCAAAAUCAAAUUCCCAUUUUGACGUGCUUAUGAUGAUUCAAAGUCCCGGUGGAAAGGAGAGAACAAGGCAUGAAUUCAUGACCCUGGCUACUGGCGCUGGUUUUGGUGGGAUCAGUUGUGAACUUGCUAUUGGUAAUCUCUGGGUUAUGGAGUUCUAUAAGUAGAGUGCAUGCCCAUGCAUCCUAGAAAUAAAGCAAAUCUUGUGUUGAUUGUCUUGCGUGUAUCCUGCUGUACCGUACAUCCGCCUUGGCCGUACAGCAGAUCAUAUCUCUGCGAUAUAUAUCCUGAUGGCUAUUUUCUUCAUCAGCUUUUUUGGCAAUAGAUCCUUAUUGUAUAAGUUUGCCCACUCUUUGUAUUUCUUAUGCGUUUGGGCUCAUUUUGGGUUGGGCUUGCAUCCGAAUGUGGAUAGUGGUUUUGACUCUUGAAAAUGGAAUAACAUGCUCAACCAAUUCCUAUGCCCCACAGCAAAUACUAAUAAAAAGUAUGACGUGCCCUUGCGGGAAUGACUACAUCUCAAAGAUAUGGUUGAUUGAGUUAGCUUUAUCCGUGAGUCUUCUUGUUUUAAUUUGAAUCAUAUGUUCAUAUAUGAUAGUCACAGAUAAUAAGAGAUUCUACAGUACGUAUGUGUUUGGUACUUAUUGGACAAUACAAUGCACAGCUAGAUUAAUUUGGAAACCAAUUUGGUGGGGGGAAAGCAGAAAAUAUCCAAUUCUACCAAUUCGCUGGUUGGUACUGAUCGACUAUGCCAACGACCUCCUUUAUCCCCCAACCUCCUUAUUUAUUUUCAAGGACAUCUCUAUUCACUGAUUCACUCAUACAUGACCGAGCAGCUCGCUACAUGAUGGGUUCCAAAAAAAAUUCUGUUAGACUUGUUUUAGGUAUUAGCCCUACUUAAUUAUUUUUGGAAAGUAUAGCUUUUAAAUUCCAACACGAAUGUGCUUAAUAAAUACUUACUGCUAUAAUCUAAAAAUUAAGUUUAUUUUAUUUAUACAAUAAAAAGUCAUAAUAACUUUUAAAAUUAUUACAUAUUACCAUACUUUCUCAUUUUUUUUAAUCACAACACCUCAGUACCAAAUAUAGUGAUAAUUUAUAUUUAAUAAUUGAAUAUUGACUUAUUUUUUUGUCAUAGAUGUCUCACCAUAACUUUAUCAUAUUUCUAGUAUGUUACUGAUACUAAAUAAACUCCUUACACAUGUUUAGCUUUUCUAAUUGCACUACUAGAAAAAUGGGCUACCAUGACAGAGAAUAUCUGUCAUCCGACCCUGUUUAUGACAGAGUUUCUAUCUGUCAUUGUAGCCCCUCUCACAAACUUGUGACAGUAAUUUAUCUAUCAUAGGUAUAUGUGACAGCUUAUAUCUAUCACAAAUGUGUCACAACAAAAGCAACGUCAUUUUAAUAUUUUAGUGGUAAAUUUUUUUUAUUGUGAAAAAUCUUUUGGCGGGUAUUAUUAAUUCAAUUUUAAAUUAUGGCUCGUAAUUAUGUGUCACAACUUUAUGAUUCUAAUAUGGUGUCACGAUGUGAUUUUUUUUAAAAUAAUAAUAUUAUUAAAAGAAUUUUUUUUAAAUUAUAAAUUUGUAAUAUUUUAAAUAAUAUUAAUAUUUUUAAUAAUAAUAAUAAUAUUAUUAUUUUAUAAUUUUAUAAAUUCCAUUGAAAUUUAAAAAUUACAAUAUGUAUAAAAUCAAUACAUCCAAAUUAUCUCAACAAUAUUAUCAAAACAUCACUAAAUCAUCACUUGAAAUAACCAUAACAUUGUCAAAACAUCAUCUAUUCAAUUAUCACAAAUCUACAUCCCAACACUACCAUCUGGAUCAUUACCAGCAUACAAAAACAUCACAACACUAUAUAUCAUCUGAAACACUACCAGGCUGAUCAAGAUUCACUACUAUACUUAAGACUUUAUCAAACAAUAUAGCAUACAAAUUUCACUACCACUUAGACUUUAUCAAGAUUCACUAUCAUUUGGAACAAUACCAGCAUACAAAAUUCACUGCCACUUAGACUUUAUCAAACAAUAUCAUCAUCAACUCCACUGCUCAUACUAUCAGCUCAGACACAAAGGAAGCAUACUCGAGACGCACUUCAUCAAGCUCACUUUGAGUGUAUUCACAUUUCCCUUUAAACUGUCAAAUGAUGAUCACAUGUCAAACUAAAGUAAUUCGUUUAUUCAUUUUGCAGCCCCUAAUAUUAAUAAUUUGAAGUUGACAAUCCUACCUAAUAUGAACAUAGGGAUGACAAAAUGUGGGCUUAGGUCAAGCUUUUCUGAGCCCAAGCCCAUUUUAGUAGAAGCAUGAGGACAAGGCUUGGACUUUCACUUUUUUUUUUUAAUUGUUGUAAAUUUGAAAUGAAUUAAUAAUUAACAAGUUGUUAUAAUUAACAAUGAGUUAAAGAAAUUAAAUAUUUUAAAAUAAAAUAAUAAAUGAAGAAAAUUAAGCAAAUAAAUGCUAAAGAUUUAAUUUUUUUAAUACUGCAUUUUCUAAUUUAAACAUCAUUUUAAUUAAUUACUGCUUAAGAGAGAGAUUAAUAUUAUAAUUUUAGGUUUUGUGAAUCAUUAUUGAUUUAUGAAUUAAGAAUUUAAGUUUUUUUUUUUUAAAUUUUAAUAUAUUGUUCUAAUUUAUAAAUUUAUUUUGUAAAAAAAAAAAUAGAGUGCUGGGCCUAGUCCGAGCAUUUUCUCUUAAGCUCUUAUCUAAUUCCUCGCGUAGAAAGAUGGGCCGAAAGCUUACGGACUUGGGCUAGAUGGGCUUUUUUAUCCACCCUAUUCGCACAUGGUUUUCAUGCAUGUUAAUUUGCCUACAACUACUAAUUCAGUAAAGUUGUAGUGUUACUUGGGCUAGAUGGGCUUUUUUAUCCACCUUGUUCGCACAUGGUUUUCAUGCAUGUUAAUUUGCCUACAACUACUAAUUCAGUAAAGUUGUAGUGUUAAAUCAUCUCCUCAAUAGCAAUUUAAGUGUUGGUGUGGGCACCUAUUCACGCAAUAGCCGACCAGAUUUCUUCAUCAACAGUUUGUAUUUUCUAAUCUUUGAGUUGUAUUUGAAAGAUGGUUAAAGUUGUUCCAGCAUCUUAGUCACAUGAUACAAAGAUAAAAAAAAUUCUCAUAAUCAACUCUCACAUUCCAAAAAUGGGGAAAAUAAUGAUGGUGAUAAUAUUAUGAUCGAUGUUUUUCAGUGAUCUUAUUGUAAGAAGCUUUUUUCCCAAAAAAUCAUGCAUUUGAUUGAGAUCCCACUGCAUUUACAGCAUCUCGAGGCACUUCAUCUCACAUGUUUCUUUCAACAUCAGUGCAUGUUUAGAACUAAAAUUAUGUUGGUUCAUCUUUGGAACUUGUAAGCACUCCUAAGUUGACAUAAACUCUACAUCGACAACUACUUGGCAUCAAGAAUAAAUUCUUGAUUGCGAGGAUGAGUAGUGGUCACAAAUUAACUAACAUUUGGAUAGUUGGGAAAGAAUACAUCUUAUCGAAGGAUUGAGUGAAAGUUGUGUUUGUCUUUAUCCAUGCACAAUUAUUUAUCUUGAUUUGAUGUAUGAGACAAAGCAACCCGUUUUAAAAAUGCAACUCCUUUUAUUUGUGACUAUGUUAUAGUUUGUGCAAACUUUUGUAUUAAUUAUCUCUAUUAUGUCUUUUUUUUAAACAAAGCCUAUAUGUUUUAAUUAUUUAUUUAUGUUAGGAUAUUUUUUAAGUUAUCUAUUUUAUUCACUUGGAUUUUUAUUUCAAAAGAUAUAUCAUUGAAAAGUUUAUUAAAAUAUUUUUGACAAAAAGAAUUUUUGACAAAGUUAUCAAAAAGUAAAUAUUUAUUUUCUAAAAAUAUAAUUUUUAUGAUAACCAAAAAAAUAUAGUACAAUGCAAUGCAAUACCAAACAUAGUAUAAUUAAAAAUUAAUAUAGUACAAUAUAACACUAAAUGCUGCACAAUAUUAAUAAAAUAAAGUGUUAAUGCAAUACAAUAUAAUGCAAUAUGCUUGUAUUAAAAUAAUGCAAAACAUAUAAUAUAAUAACAAUGUACCAAAUGCACCUAUAGUACAUAAUCACACAUGGGUUCUCUUCGGUGGCUGGACCAAACACUUAAAUUUGAGAGGGAUUGGUAAUGACUGUCUCAGUCAUCUGUAAGGACAACUGUUGCUAGCACUCUUCAAAAUUUUAUAUAAAAAUACUUUUUUAAUUAAUGUUUCGGCAUGUGUUUCUAAUCGGGCCCUGCAAAUAAAGUAUUACUCUUUUUUAGAACCUUACUUGUUACCUAUGUCUAACUAGGUCAACAUUUUCUUUUCGAUUAGUUUUUAUAUUGAACGUGAAAAAAAAAAUUAAGGACCAAGACACUAGUCACGAUAGGCGAUUGUCGCUAACACUCCUCAAAUUUUUAUACAAAAAAUACUCUUUUUAGUAUUUCAAAUCCAUGUUUUCUAAUCGGAUCUUGCAAAUAAAGUAUUACUUGUUUCUUGAAAUCGUACCUAUUUGUUACCUACUUCUAACUAAGCCAACAUUUUCUCUUAAAUUAGUUUUCAAUAAUAUUUCGGACCCAUGUUUUUUAAUUGCGUCCCGCAAAUAAAGUUUUACUUUUUUUCUUAAAACCCUACCUACCUAUAACCUAUCUCUAACUAGGCCAACAUUUUUUCUUCAAUUAAUUUAUAUUGAACGUGAAAAAUAUUGAGGACCAUGCACACAUUCAAAAAAAUUAUUGGGAUUCGAAUCAAGUCUCUAAAACCACUAAGUAACAUGUGUACCAUUGGGCUACAAGUGUUUUAUUAUUUAAAAAAUAUUUCUAAAUGCUUUUCAUUUAACUCAUUCAGAAGGUGCUCGGGGCACACUUAAAAAAAAAUGGUUCAGAGGGCUAAAGCCCCUUUUAUGGCAUCUUCUGUCCUUUUCGCGUUGCAGGCUUAACUUUUUGAAAUUAACAACCAGUAAACAUGUUGUCAAAAAUUUUAAUAUACUCGCAAGCGCAUAAAUUUAGAGAUAGAAUAGUGGUAAUGAGGUUGAUCAUACAUGGAUUGUUAUAAAUUAAAAAGUCUAAUUUAAAUUUAAAAUUAAUAUUAAUUCUAACCUAAUUGAGCAAAUUGAAUUUUUAAGAGAAAUUAAACUAAUUAAACUAAAAAAACAAUUAAAGUAAAUGAGAAAUCAAUAAGACAAAAGUUACUAAGAUUUCAUAAUCCACCACUAUUCAACUAAUAAUUAUCUAAUUAUUAAUUAAUCUCCAAUUUUAGAGUGAUAACUCGAAAUCAAUCUAUGUCAUCUCAUGGAUAUAACAAUUAAACCCAAGUAAUUAAAUCUAAUGUAGGUGCUUUUUCUGCUUAAUAGUAUGACAUCUAAGCAUCCCAUGUAAACAUAUUGAAUAACAAAGAGUCAAAGUUUUCCUAAACACUCUAUGUAAACAAUUUAAAGAAAGAUAUAGAAUAAAAAAUAGGGAAAUUAUCACCGGUAUACCCUUAAAUGUCACCGGUAUCAAACGUACUACAAUACUUUUCACUUAUAUCACUCGUAUACCCUAAGUUGACAAAAGAGUUCUGGCGUCCACCUUUCCGUUUACUACCGUUAAGAACUUAAUAGAAUUUGAGCAAAAUGACUAUUUUACCCUUUAAACUCAAAAUGAGGUAAAAAAAUAAAUUUACCUUGAAAAUUAAUGUAAAUUUUCAAUACACAAUUUUUUUUAUUUUGUCAUUAACAAUACAUUUUUUAUUAAAAAAAUAUAAAUUAUUAAUGGUACAUAUUAUUAACAAUUAUCCAUAAAAAAUAUUCAUCUUAUACCAUAAAAAAUUAUUAACAACAUAUUAUUUAUAAUUAUACAUAUUAUACCAUAAAAAACUCAAGUUGGAGCUUGGAGGAGUAGAUCUUCAAUAAUUUUGGUUAAAUUUUGGAAGAGUAAAUUCAGUUGUAAAGUAGCUUUUUUUUUUUUUACAAUUAUUAACAAUUAUCCGAUAAAUGGGAUGACAUGUCAUUUUUAUCAAAAUAUAUCAUAUGACAUGUCAUUUUUUACUAGGUAAAUGGGAUGACAUGUCGUUUUUAAAAAAGACUAGAUCACCCUUAUGAUGUCAGCGCUCGCAAACGGCAGUUAACGGAUCGGUGGACGGCAGAAGUGUUUUGUCAACUUAGGGUAUACGAGUGAUACAUUUAAAAAUGUUAUAACACGUUUGAUACUGAUGUCAUUUAAGGGUAUAUGACUGAUAAUUUCCCUAAAAAAUAAUCAUGUAUAAACUUUAUAGAUCCAAGCAUAGAUUUAAUCAAAUAUUAAUCUUAACAAUUAAUAAUGCAUGACAGAAUUGAUGAAAAGAUUUUAAUAACAUCAAAUUAAUCAUGUGAAAUAAAAACCAUAAUCAUUAAAGCAUACAUGUAGGGAAUUAAUUAAAUAAAAAGAUAAUUAUUUUAUUGAAUAAGAUUUCAUCCUUAACCUCAGUAUAAAAAAAUUAGUUAGAUAUACUUAAAUUGAGAGCAACAAAAAAAUAUAAAAUCAUCCAUUGAAGCCGAACUGCUGCAGCUGAUUUUCUCCCGAAUCGCGUCUGUUCUUUUUUUCCUUCCUCUGGCGGCUACUUUUCAUUCAAAAGCCAAAGGCUUGUUUAUAUAGUCUUUAAAAUGGGCCCCACCUUAUCAAUUCUAAAGCAUAUUUGUUUUGCUUCACUCACGUGCUGGGCACUUAGAAUUGCAAUAGGAUUCUUUUUUCAUUUAUGAAAGCCAAUUGCGGGUCUUUUUUAAAGCUAAAAUCAAAUUCUCUCUUUUGUCCGCAUGUGCAUGAUGAAUUAACUUGUUGAAUUCGGUUCCUUGGCUUGAUUUCCACAUGCAUGUAUGUCUAAUUACUUCCAAAAAUCAAUUAAUCUUUAAUGCUUCCAAAAUUGAGCUCUUUUAUAUCCUUUUUAUCCAUAAUCUCAAAUUAAUUCCCUAUUCAAUAAAACAAUUCAAUUAAUUAAAAAUAAGAAAAAAAAUAACUAGCAAAUAUAUAAGAAAGGGUAAAAUAUGUAUAUAAAUUAUGCUCAUUAAAUACCCCCAAACUUAGAUUUUGCUAGUCCUCGAGCAAAACUAAAACUUAAAACAAAAAUAAAAACAAUGAAACAAAAAGUAAAUCCUAACUAAACUACUUUUCCAAGUAAUCGCGAUUGCAUUUAACGUAUGCAACAAGCCUUUAAACCCCUAGACGGCCCUAGUGGACGAGUUAUAGUCUCGUGAUGGCUUUAGUGACGAUACCCACAAACAUCAUUUUUUUUAAAAAAUAAAUAAAUAAAAAGAACAACAAACUUUAAAUAAAACAUAAAAAUAGCCUCAAAGAUUGCAUAAAUUAUAUAGCUCAAAGAAAAUUUCAAAUAUUGGCAAAGUUCUAAUUUUAAUUCAUUAGUCAAUCCCAUCUCUCUUUUGAUAGUUUUGAAUGACCAAGUCUAUAUUGGCAAACUCUUGAUAGUUUUGAAUGACAAGUCUAUAUAUAACCCCUUGGCCAAACAAGAAACCCCGCAAAGCGUAGGAGAAAUUCAAGAAACUUAAAAUGGAUUCUAUAGUUGAUGGAGAAAGAGACCAAAGCUUUGCAUAUGCUAGUCAAUUGGUGAUGGGUACAGUGCUACCCAUGGCCAUUCAAGCGGUGUAUGAGCUGGGCAUUUUCGAGAUCCUAGACAAAGUUGGUCCUGGUGCAAAGCUCUGUGCUUCAGAUAUUGCAGCCCAAUUGCUCACCAAGAACAAAGACGCACCCAUGAUGCUGGAUCGGAUUCUCAGGCUUCUGGCUAGCUACAGCGUUGUUGAAUGCUCACUUGAUGCUUCUGGUGCCCGGAGACUAUAUAGUUUGAAUUCUGUCUCCAAAUACUAUGUGCCUAACAAAGAUGGCGUCUUACUAGGCCCC